UUCUCUCUCACUCUCUAUCUCUCUCCGAGUUUCCCCCGCCUUCUUAUUCCUCGUCCGGCACACACGUCUCUGUUUGUCUCCUCCACGUACCGCAGCACAGCCGGCCGCCGAUCCCUUCUCCUUCCUCCCAUCCUCGCCGGUUCCCUUUCCCAUCCUCCGAUGACGUCGCCGGUAUCCUACCUUUUUCUCAGCCUUUUGCGUCUCUCCCUCUUCAUUAAUUCUGCUCCAAUGUCCAUCGAUCUGCGCCUAGCCUACCUCUCAAUUUUCUGAUUUACCCGACGGACUUUUGAUUCGUCGCAGAGAUCGAACGUCUGAAAUUGCGGACAAAAUCUCAGAGAUUACGGUUGUCAAUGGAGGUGAAAAUUGCGUCAUGGACUAGUCGUCUAGCCCUAACUGGCCUAAUCAACGUCACUAUAUGCUUGGUUUAAACUGUUGACGAUAAUGGAGAUAUGGCGGCAUAGAGCUAUCAUCGAUCAGGUCCAGGGCUCUCUCUCUCUCUCUCCCAGAAUGUUAUGUUGCAACAAAGACAUGAGACCAUGGCAGCGAUCUUCACACAAUGUCAGACUAGCUGAACAAAAGUCGGAUGACUUUACCAGAGAUCUCAUAUCGAGCGUUGUUCGGAGCUCCUUGCUUGAAUUGAAACACCUUAUAUUGAGAAGAGCUCUCCUGGAAAUUGGAAACAGAUCUUGUCAUGGAAACUGACACAUAUGGAACAGACAUAUUUGAUGUUGUCUCUUAGCAAUAACCUUUGGCCCCGUGUUACUCAACUGGUGAGGUUGGCCAUUCAUGUCUGCUCCUUAGUUCCACUAUUAUGUUUCGCAUUAAUGCCUGUAAUUCCAGUAAUUCACAAUUUUGUUGCUGUGAGCUGAAAAGUGGAACGAACUAUCCUUUAAUGGAAUAAUUUGAAAAUCUGAUUUCGCGAUGGGGGCUGUAUCUACAUCACAGGUACGGUGUAAUUUCUCGACUGCCUUUUUCUUCUGCAACUGCAAAUGAUGGUAUAUAUCAUGGCUUCGGCUGCUUAAACAGUUUUAGUUUCUGACUUGACUUCAGUAAUUUUCCGCGUCCAGUGAGUUCCAACCAUCUCAAUUGCAGCCUUGGGCUCAUUUAUUGUAUGAGUGAAAGAAAAAAAAAUCAUUUCUUGCGGUCUGCAUCUACAAUUCAAGACCAUAUCAGCAAAGGUCACAUACUUACGAUUAUAUCUACUGGUCAGUGGGGGCGACAUGGAAUACUGAAUCUAUUAGUAGUCGUACAUAGAAUUCCAACAGUUUCACCAUUGUCUUUCUGUGAUUAGCUCUUGAUCAUGACACGACUGUAUAGUUCAAGAAGAGGGUGAAUCUUCGUCGCUAGUUGGAGGAAUGAGUAGUUGUAAAUACAAAACUUUCUUCUGUUGAUGAAAUCUGGAUU